UACGGAGGGUGCGAGCGUUGUUCGGAAUCACUGGGCGUAAAGCGCGUGUAGGCGGCUCGUUAGGUCUGAUGUGAAAGCCCGGGGCUCACCCCCGGAAGUGCAUUGGAAACUGGCGAGCUGGAGUCCCGGAGAGGAGGGUGGAAUUCCUGGUGUAGCGGUGAAAUGCGUAGAUAUCAGGAGGAACACCGGUGGCGAAGGCGGCCCUCUGGACGGUGACUGACGCUGAGACGCGAAAGCGUGGGGAGCAAACAGG
rnacentral:rRNA from 1 species